rnacentral:rRNA from 1 species
AGCAGCCGCGGUAAUUCCAGCUCCAAUAGCGUAUAUUAAAGUUGUUGCAGUUAAAAAGCUCGUAGUUGAAUUUCGGGAUCAAUCUAUCGGUCGUGCAAUAGUACGUACUGAUUUUAUUGAUUCCUACCUUCUGAUGAACUAUGAUGUCAUUAAUUUGGUGUCAUAGGGAAUCAGGACUGUUACUUUGAAAAAAUUAGAGUGUUUAAAGCAGGCUCACGCUUGAAUACAUUAGCAUGGAAUAACGAAAUAGGACGUUUGAUUCUAUUUUGUUGGUUUCUAGGAUCGACGUAAUGAUUAAUAGGGAUAGUUGGGGGCAUUAGUAUUCAAUUGUCGGAGGUGAAAUUCUUGGAUUUAUUGAAGCUAACUACUGCGAAAGCAUUUGCCAAGGAUGUUUUCAUUAAUCAAGAACGAAAGUU